rnacentral:rRNA from 1 species
CGAUGGGGAUGCGUUCCAUUAGAUAGUAGGCGGGGUAACGGCCCACCUAGUCUUCGAUGGAUAGGGGUUCUGAGAGGAAGGUCCCCCACAUUGGAACUGAGACACGGUCCAAACUCNUACGGGAGGCAGCAGUGAGGAAUAUUGGUCAAUGGGCGAGAGCCUGAACCAGCCAAGUAGCGUGAAGGAUGACUGCCCUAUGGGUUGUAAACUUCUUUUAUAAAGGAAUAAAGUCGGGUAUGUAUACCCGUUUGCAUGUACUUUAUGAAUAAGGAUCGGCUAACUCCGUGCCAGCAGCCGCGGUAAUACGGAGGAUCCGAGCGUUAUCCGGAUUUAUUGGGUUUAAAGGGAGCGUAGAUGGAUGUUUAAGUCAGUUGUGAAAGUUUGCGGCUCAACCGUAAAAUUGCAGUUGAUACUGGAUAUCUUGAGUGCAGUUGAGGCAGGCGGAAUUCGUGGUGUAGCGGCGAAAUGCUUAGAUAUCACGAA